AUUGAACGCUGGCGGCAUGCCUUACACAUGCAAGUCGAACGGCAGCACGGGAGCAAUCCUGGUGGCGAGUGGCGAACGGGUGAGUAAUGUAUCGGAACGUACCUUCAGUGGGGGAUAACGUAGCGAAAGUUACGCUAAUACCGCAUAUUCUGUGAGCAGGAAAGCAGGGGGAUCGCAAGACCUUGCGCUGAUUGAGCGGCCGAUAUCAGAUUAGCUAGUUGGUGAGGUAAAGGCUCACCAAGGCGACGAUCUGUAGCGGGUCUGAGAGGAUGAUCCGCCACACUGGAACUGAGACACGGUCCAGACUCCUACGGGAGGCAGCAGUGGGGAAUUUUGGACAAUGGGCGCAAGCCUGAUCCAGCCAUGCCGCGUGAGUGAAGAAGGCCUUCGGGUUGUAAAGCUCUUUCAGCCGGGAAGAAAACGCAUGGGUUAAUACCCUGUGUGGAUGACGGUACCGGAAUAAGAAGCACCGGCUAACUACGUG
rnacentral:rRNA from 1 species